CGGAACGGGUGGAGGUAACGACGUGAGGGAAACCUGUCCAAAGAAGGGGGACGAAAGUUGGAAACGACUGCUAAUACCGCAUAAGCCCACGGCUCGGCAUCGAGCAGAGGGAAAAGGAGCAAUCCGCUUUGAGAUGGCCUCGCGUCCGAUUAGCUAGUUGGUGAGGUAACGGCCCACCAAGGCGACGAUCGGUAGCCGGACUGGGAGGUUGAACGGCCACAUUGGGACUGAGACACGGCCCAG
rnacentral:rRNA from 1 species